rnacentral:lncRNA from 1 species
AUUUCACCAACUUCCCGAUCAAAUUUUUUGCAUCUACACCGUUCAAUUCAUUGGGUUAUAUGAGUAGAUCAUUUAUACAAAUUUUCAGAUAAUUUAAUGAUCGUUAACCCAUUCAAAACUUCGAUUUAUUUUUAAUGAUCUUGAACGGUCCAGGUUUGAUAUAAAAGUGUGUAACUUUUUGUUUUAAUCUCAGCCAUCCAACCUCAUUAAAUGACAUAUCCAAUGAUGUGGGCUUAUCCCUAAAAGUAGACCAAAAAUAAGGGAUCCCUCAAUGGAGGGCCCUCUAUAUAUAAAUAUAUAUAUAUAUAUACACACACAAAGAGGAUGUGAAGCGGACGUCCGCACUCCGGCUUAAAGUGUGGACGUCGUCCGUUCUCCGCCGGCGAUGGCUUCUCUCCUUCCCGGACGACAGCACAGGCUUCCAGGACGGCUUCUCUCCUUCCAAGACUAGCCGGCGACAAGUUUUCGGCCAACCUUGAUCAUUCAUGGUGUUUUCCGUCCAGAGCUUCAAUCCGGCUGGAAAACUUGUCGCCGGCCAGUCCUAGAAGGAGAGAAACCGUCCUGGAGGGAGACAAACCCGUCCUGGAAGCCUCUGUUGUCGUCCGGGAAGGAGAGAAGCCGUCGCCGGCGUGAGACGGCGGAGAACAGACGACGUCCGCACUUUAAGCCGGAGUGCGGACGUCCGCUUCACAUCCUCUCUGUAUAUAUAUAUAUCGGAGAGGAUCUAAAGAGAACAUCUGCACGCCCUUAAAGUGCGGACGUCCCUCCGUUCUCCAUCGUAUGGCUCCAACGACAGUGCGCCACCACCCUAGCGGCCUCCAGCAGCGUCCCCGAUCACUUUCCCUCCCCGGUGAGUCCGCCGAAUUCCAGUUUUCUGACGAAAUCGAUUUUGUUUGAAGUUUUGGGUGAUCUCGCAGGAAAACAUAAAUUCGGCGGACUCGCCGGGGAGGAAAACUGAUCGGGGACGCUGCUGGAGGCCGCCAGGGUGGAGGCGUGCUAUCGUCGGAGCCGUACGGUGGAGAACGGAGGGAUGUCCGCACUUUAAGGGCUAUGCGGACGUCCUCUCUGGAUCCGGACUGAUAUAUAUAUAUAUAUAUAUAGUAGGGAGGAU